UCACAUCCCAGGUCCUUCUCAGGUGUCAGAAGCCCCGCCUCAUCACCAUCGAGCAUGUUGGCUGCUACAACAGUAUCUCCUGGCCCCUGCUGUUGCUCGGCCUCCUCCUAUCACUUGACUAGCACCAUUCACUCUGGCCAGGCCUUUGAGGCAUGUCAGGACCCCACAUGACUCCUACAUCUCUAGAUGUUGCUUCCCUUUUUCUGGUUCGAACCAACACAUGAGGACAAUCCAGUUAACUAAUCUCCAGUGACCGCAACUGUAGUCCUGAAAUACUAAGCUCAAGGUACUAUGUGCUGUGAUAAUAUACUACUGAAGAUGAAAUUGCUAAGUCUCACAUGUGAGAAAUAAGAGACACUUUGCCUGGCAACAGAAAAUUCUAAAUUCAACUUUUGAUGGUACUACAAUGCAAUUGUGCCC